rnacentral:rRNA from 1 species
UCGAGCGAGUCUGCCUUGAAGAUCGGAGUGCUUGCACUCUGUGAAACAAGAUACAGGCUAGCGGCGGACGGGUGAGUAACACGUGGGUAACCUGCCCAAGAGAUCGGGAUAACACCUGGAAACAGAUGCUAAUACCGGAUAACAACAGAUGAUGCCUAUCAACUGUUUAAAAGAUGGUUCUGCUAUCACUCUUGGAUGGACCUGCGGUGCAUUAGCUAGUUGGUAGGGUAACGGCCUACCAAGGCGAUGAUGCAUAGCCGAGUUGAGAGACUGAUCGGCCACAUUGGGACUGAGACACGGCCCAAACUCCUACGGGAGGCAGCAGUAGGGAAUCUUCCACAAUGGACGCAAGUCUGAUGGAGCAACGCCGCGUGAGUGAAGAAGGGCUUCGGCUCGUAAAGCUCUGUUGUUGGUGAAGAAGGACAGGGGUAGUAACUGACCUUUGUUUGACGGUAAUCAAUUAGAAAGUCACGGCUAACUACGUGCCAGCAGCCGCGGUAAUACGUAGGUGGCAAGCGUUGUCCGGAUUUAUUGGGCGUAAAGCGAGUGCAGGCGGCUCGAUAAGUCUGAUGUGAAAGCCUUCGGCUCAACCGGAGAAUUGCAUCAGAAACUGUCGAGCUUGAGUACAGAAGAGGAGAGUGGAACUCCAUGUGUAGCGGUGAAA